rnacentral:tRNA from 1 species
GGGCCGGUGUUGCAGUGGUAGCAUUCUAGACUUCGAGGUCGUGAACUGGAGUUUCAUCUAGCGGUCGCGGGUUCAAAUCCCGUCCGGCCUU